rnacentral:lncRNA from 1 species
AUGAGAGAGACUGCUGAUGAGAGAGAACUUUAUGCUCAAAUCAGACUUCAAAAUACACAAAGCCUCAGCUCAAGGGUUUACUUACUCCAGAAUGCCAAGUCAAGGCCACUUGCUUUGCUAGAAGACAGAGAAGCUCCAAGAAGAAAGUGUGAGAGUCAGACCUCCAAGACAGUAGAAGGGUAA